rnacentral:rRNA from 1 species
UGCAGUCGAACGAUGAAGCCUAGCUUGCUAGGUGGAUUAGUGGCGAACGGGUGAGUAACACGUGAGCAACCUGCCCCGAACUUUGGGAUAAGCGCUGGAAACGGCGUCUAAUACCGAAUACGCACCAUGGCGGCAUCGUCAAUGGUGGGAAAGAUUUUUCGGUUCGGGAGGGGCUCGCGGCCUAUCAGCUUGUUGGUGAGGUAAUGGCUCACCAAGGCGUCGACGGGUAGCCGGCCUGAGAGGGUGACCGGCCACACUGGGACUGAGACACGGCCCAGACUCCUACGGGAGGCAGCAGUGGGGAAUAUUGCACAAUGGGCGCAAGCCUGAUGCAGCAACGCCGCGUGAGGGAUGACGGCCUUCGGGUUGUAAACCUCUUUUAGUAGGGAAGAAGCGAAAGUGACGGUACCUGCAGAAAAAGCACCGGCUAACUACGUGCCAGCAGCCGCGGUAAUACGUAGGGUGCAAGCGUUAUCCGGAAUUAUUGGGCGUAAAGAGCUCGUAGGCGGUUUGUCGCGUCUGCUGUGAAAACUAGAGGCUCAACUUCUAGCUUGCAGUGGGUACGGGCAGACUAGAGUGCGGUAGGGGAGAUUGGAAUUCCUGGUGUAGCGGUGGAAUGCGCAGAUAUCAGGAGGAACACCGAUGGCGAAGGCAGAUCUCUGGGCCGUAACUGACGCUGAGGAGCGAAAGAGUGGGGAGCAAACAGGCUUAGAUACCCUGGUAGUCCACUCCGUAAACGUUGGGAACUAGUUGUGGGGGCCUUUCUACGGUCUCCGUGACGCAGCUAACGCAUUAAGUUCCCCGCCUGGGGAGUACGGCCGCAAGGCUAAAACUCAAAGGAAUUGACGGGGACCCGCACAAGCGGCGGAGCAUGCGGAUUAAUUCGAUGCAACGCGAAGAACCUUACCAAGGCUUGACAUAUACCGGAAAACGGCUGGAAACAGUCGCCCCCUUGUGGUCGGUAUACAGGUGGUGCAUGGUUGUCGUCAGCUCGUGUCGUGAGAUGUUGGGUUAAGUCCCGCAACGAGCGCAACCCUCGUUCUAUGUUGCCAGCACGUUAUGGUGGGAACUCAUGGAAUACUGCCGGGGUCAACUCGGGAGGAAAGUGGGGGAUGACGUCAAAUCAUCA